GACGAACGCUGGCGGCGUGCUUAACACAUGCAAGUCGAACGGAAAGGCCCGCUUGCGGGUACUCGAGUGGCGAACGGGUGAGUAACACGUGGGUAACCUGCCCUCAGCUCUGGGAUAACAGUUGGAAACAGCUGCUAAUACCGGAUAUCACUUCGCACCGCAUGGUGUGGGGUUGAAAGUUUUUCGGCUGGGGAUGGGCCCGCGGCCUAUCAGCUUGUUGGUGGGGUGAUGGCCUACCAAGGCGACGACGGGUAGCCGGCCUGAGAGGGCGACCGGCCACACUGGGACUGAGACACGGCCCAGACUCCUACGGGAGGCAGCAGUGGGGAAUAUUGCGCAAUGGGCGAAAGCCUGACGCAGCGACGCCGCGUGAGGGAUGAAGGCCUUCGGGUUGUAAACCUCUUUCAGCAGGAACGAAAAUAGACGGUACCUGCAGAAGAAGCACCGGCUAACUACGUGCCAGCCGCCGCGGUAACAC
rnacentral:rRNA from 1 species